rnacentral:rRNA from 1 species
GGAUAACCUGCCCUAUGCUCCGGAAUAACCUCGGGAAACUGAGAAUAAUACCGGAUAGAUCACAACGCCUGGAACGGUGUGUGGUUCAAAGGUCACGGCAUAGGAUGGGUCUGCGGCGUAUCAGGUCGUAGGGGGUGUAACGGACCUCCUAGCCAUCGACGCGUACGGGUGUUGGGAGACAUAGCCCGGAGAUGGAUUCUGAGACACGAAUCCAGACCCUACGGGGUGCAGCAGGCGCGAAAACUUCACACUGCAGGAAACUGUGAUGAGGGAACUCCAAGUGCGCGCACUUAGUGUGCGCUUUUCUUGACUAUUAAUCGGUCAUGGAAUAAGGGCUGGGAAAGACCGGUGCCAGCCGCCGCGGUAAUACCGGCAGCUCAAGUGGUCGUCGCUUUUAUUGGGCCUAAAACGUCCGUAGCCUGUUUGGUAAAUCUGUGGGUAAAUCAACCAGCUUAACUGGUUGAAUUCUGCAGAGACUGCCAGACUAGGGACCGGGAGAGGUGUGGGGUACUCUAGGGGUAGGGGUAAAAUCCUGUCAUCCUUAGAGGACCACCAGUUGCGAAGGCGCCACACUGGAACGGAUCCGACGGUCAGGGGCGAAGCCUAGGGGCACGAACCGGAUUAGAUACCCGGGUAGUCCUAGGUGUAAACGCUGUGAACUUGGUGUCGGGAGUCCGCAAUGGGCCCCCGGUGCCGGAGUGAAGAUGUUAAGUUCACUGCCUGGGGAGUACGGUCGCAAGGCUGAAACUU